rnacentral:rRNA from 1 species
CGAACGCUUUUUCUUUCACCGGAGCUUGCUCCACCGAAAGAAAAAGAGUGGCGAACGGGUGAGUAACACGUGGGUAACCUGCCCAUCAGAAGGGGAUAACACUUGGAAACAGGUGCUAAUACCGUAUAACACUAUUUUCCGCAUGGAAGAAAGUUGAAAGGCGCUUUUGCGUCACUGAUGGAUGGACCCGCGGUGCAUUAGCUAGUUGGUGAGGUAACGGCUCACCAAGGCAACGAUGCAUAGCCGACCUGAGAGGGUGAUCGGCCACACUGGGACUGAGACACGGCCCAGACUCCUACGGGAGGCAGCAGUAGGGAAUCUUCGGCAAUGGACGAAAGUCUGACCGAGCAACGCCGCGUGAGUGAAGAAGGUUUUCGGAUCGUAAAACUCUGUUGUUAGAGAAGAACAAGGAUGAGAGUAAAAUGUUCAUCCCUUGACGGUAUCUAACCAGAAAGCCACGGCUAACUACGUGCCAGCAGCCGCGGUAAUACGUAGGUGGCAAGCGUUGUCCGGGAUUUAUUGGGCGUAAAGCGAGCGCAGGCGGUUUUUUAAGUCUGAUGUGAAAGCCCCCGGCUCAACCGGGGAGGGUCAUUGGAAACUGGGAGACUUGAGUGCAGAAGAGGAGAGUGGAAUUCCAUGUGUAGCGGUGAAAUGCGUAGAUAUAUGGAGGAACACCAGUGGCGAAGGCGGCUCUCUGGUCUGUAACUGACGCUGAGGCUCGAAAGCGUGGGGAGCGAACAGGAUUAGAUACCCUGGUAGUCCACGCCGUAAACGAUGAGUGCUAAGUGUUGGAGGGUUCCGCCCUUCAGUGCUGCAGCAAACGCAUAAGCACU